rnacentral:sRNA from 1 species
ACGAGUAUUUGGCUUUGUAUCUUCUAACAAGGAAACACUACUUAGGCUUUGAAGAUCCGAAUGUUGUUCUAGUUCUUAUACUCAAUCAUACACAUGACAUCUAGUCAUAUUUGACUCC